rnacentral:ncRNA from 1 species
CGGCCUGAGGUCGGACGAGGCUACCCGCUGAAUUUAAGCAUAUUACUAAGCGGAGGAAAAGAAACUAACGAGGAUUCCCUCAGUAACGGCGAGUGAAGCGGGACGAGCCCAGCGCCGAAUCCGGCCGCUUAUGGAGCGGACGGAAUUGUGGCGUAUGGAAUUCGCUUCGAGGGCGGACCGGCUGCCCACGUCCUUCGGAUGGA